CACGGGGCCGCGGAGUCGGGUCCCCUUUUCCUUCCUCCCGUCGCAGCCCCUCUGUCUGGCCCGUGGGAGUCUAGCCCGCAAGGUAUUCUCCCCACCUCCCCAGGGGCUCCCCAGAGGUCCCCGAGAGCAAGGUCGGCUCCGCGGGCAGGGGCUCCGCGGAAGACCCGCGGCCUUACUCAGGGGCGUCACUAGGUGGCAGCACGAGCCCAACAGCGCACCUCAGGCCUUAACCCUACACCCCAUCCCCACCGCGGCCCAGCACCCUUGUGGCCACUGGGAGGACCCUGCGAGACCCGGAGCAAGGCCUGGCCCAUCAGUUUCCUAGCUUCGCGAUGGGGACGUGUAGGCGACCAGACUGGACACACGCAUGGUGGCACGAGGGCCUCUCCGGAGAUGUGAUGUCAGACAAGGAAAAGCACACCAGAUCUCUUGGCUUUGUGCCUUUCCCACCCCUGAAGAGGGCAAGGAGGUGGGAGGGGCCCUGGAGGCCCGCCGUUGCGGAGACACUGCCAGUCCUAGGAGUACCGAGCGCUCGGGUCUCUGGUCCCCUCAAAAGCUGAAUGGCCCCUGGAGGUGGGAAGAAUUUCGGACUCCAGAAGAGACACAGACCACUGAGAACCAAAAGGGUUGGGUCCAGAUUCCGUUUCACAGAUGAGCAAAGUGAGAAUCAGGGAGGUCAAAGCAACAGCAAGUCAGAGGCACAGCGCGGGUUCCCUGUGGGUCUCUCUGACCCUGAAACAGCUGGCUUCCAUUGCCCAACCAACAGAAUGGGUCCUGUUCCUGUCCUCUGGCCAUGGCCGCUCUCAACAGCCAGCCCCGGGGACCAACCCUGGGAACUGAGACACGACCCAGCACAGAGGCCACGCGGGCGGCUACGCAAACCUGACAAUAAAACUCCAACCCGCCCGC